AGGAUCAAAGGCCUUUCUCUGAGGAGUUAGGAAGAGGAGCUCGGUGGUGAUUCACUACCGGGUUUGGUUUAUCUUACUUUCUUGUUGAUUGUUCUUAUUUUUUUCCUUUCAGUGAAUGAUCUUGGGUUGUCUUUGAGAACUAUUAAACAGUAUUAUUACUUCUGUGAUUGCUCCUGAUAGACUAGAUCUGAGUUUAUGCCUGCUAUUGCUUGAAUGUAGUUCAGUGCAUCAGAUUCUAUUGUUGUUUUCUUGAGCAAAAUUAGAGAUAAUUUCAAAUCAGUGAGCUCUGAUUUAGAGCAGAACAUCUGGAAAUUUACUGAAAUACAGUGUGAGUGCUGAAUUUGUGCUUGAAUUUACUAGAUCUGAACAAGGUCAUUACACCAUCCUUCCACCGAUGAAGUUCAUAUCAAAGCCAAAGAACUGAAUAACAUAUUUAAUGUAAGUUGGAAGACAAGGAACAAGUGGUGGAUUGAUAUACCAGAACCUCGUCCAGAAAAGAAACAAAAGGUUGCAAUUCUUAACAAAAAAUUAUUAUCAAAAGAAAAGGAGGAGCAAGCUAUGCAAACUCAUCGAUUCACUGUUGAAACAAAGACUUUCAAGACAUGCAAAGAUGGUGUUGCAGAAGAAAAACAUGAUGACCACCCUUUGGAUAUUCAUCCCUGCAAAGCCAAUUCAACAACUUUUCAGCCUUGCAAAUAUACUGCUGCAGUUUCUGAAGCCAAGGCUCAACCCAGUCCUGAUACUGUUCUCAUACAAAAAGGGAAAAAUAAUGACUUGAUGGAGAAGCAAAUUUCAUCAUCUAAAGCUCUUCGUGCCACAAAGAUGAAGGCUUGUUUUGCAGAUACAAUUAUAUAUAAAAGCGCAAAAAGCACUUCAACUUGAUGACAUACAAAUUGAUCUAAAGAUGGAGAUUCAAGCAGAAGUAGAAAAUUUAGAAAAGCCACACCAAAAUGAGAAGGCCAGGUUAGAAUAUCAAAGAAAAACGCAGAUACAAAAGGAAAGAGAGGUGGCUCGAAUCACACUCGAGAAGAUGGAACAAACUGUGAAGCUCAAUCAAAGUUUGGAGAAGGAAGUUGAAGAUAUGAUGAAGAUCAUGAGCUAUGGUUCUUUUUUAAGAAGAGGGUACCUUAGAUAACUGUGAUUGGACUAGGAUCAAUCACCAGAAUCUCCAGACGAUGAAUGCGAUUGGUGGGGGUUAUGAGAAGAAUGGCCUCUACUACUUAUCUACCGAUGCCUUUCCUGUUGCUUCUGCCACUCAGUUGUCUCCUGUGCAAAUACACCGUCGUCUGGGUCACCCUAGCCUUUCUGUCUUGAAGUGUCAGUUUCCAGAGUCAGAAUCUAUCAAGUAAUUGGACUGUGAGGCAUGCCAGCUUGGUAAGCAUCAUAGAUCAAGGUUUUCUGCUAGAAGUAACAAAAGAGAAACUAUGCCCUUUGCUCUUGUUCAUGCAGAUUUAUGGGGUCCUUGUAAUGUUACUAAUGUUAAGGGCUAUAAAUAUUUUCUGGUUUUGGUUGAUGAUUGUACCAGAGUCACUUGGGUCUAUAUGUUACGUCAGAAAUCUGAAACUCCUGAUGUUAUUAAGAAGUUUUUUGCUCAAAUAAAAACACAAUUUUCUA